UACGUAGGUGGCAAGCGUUGUCCGGAUUUACUGGGCGUAAAGAGCGCGCAGGCGGUCGGAUAAGUCGAAUGUGAAAGCCCCCGGCUCAACUGGGGAGGGUCAUUCGAUACUGUUCGACUCGAAGGCAGGAGAGGGAAGUGGAAUUCCCGGUGUAGUGGUGAAAUGCGUAGAUAUCGGGAGGAACACCAGUGGCGAAGGCGACUUCCUGGACUGUUCUUGACGCUGAGGCGCGAAAGCUAGGGGAGCAAACGGG
rnacentral:rRNA from 1 species